rnacentral:rRNA from 1 species
UAUUUUGACUAUACAAAGGUAUUGUAAUAAGACUUUAAUUGAGUGCUAAGAGAAUGGAUUUUCAAAAAAAUUCUUUUUUAAAUUUAAAAAUUGAAGUUAUUUUUAUUUGUGAAGAAACAAUAAUAUAAAUUAAAGACAAGAAGACCCUAUGAAUUUUAUAUUAAAUCAUAAUUAAUGUCAUUAAUUAUGAUUUAAUUAAUUGGGGCGAUUAAAAAAAAUAAUAAACUUUUUAAAAAAAAUAAAAUGAUCCACAAAUUGUGAUUAAAUGAGAAAAAUACUCUAGGGAUAACAGCGUAAUAAUUUUAGAUAGAUCUUAUAGAAAAAAUAGUUUGCGACCUCGAUGUUGGAUUAGGAUUCUUUUUUAAUGAAGAAGUUAAAAAAAGAAGUUUGUUCAACUUUUAAAAUCCU